AAAAAUCCGCACCUCAUGUGCCUGAGACCUGACACGGACCCGUAAGGGGAAGUCGGUGAUCCUAUGCUGCCAAGAAAAUCUUCUAGCGAGGUUCUAGCCGCCCGUACCCCAAACCGACUCAGGUGGUUAGGUAGAGAAUACCAAGGCGAUCGAGUGAAUCGUGGUUAAGGAAUUCGGCAAAAUACCCCCGUAACUUCGGGAGAAGGGGGGCCCAGAGGGUGACGAGACUUGCUCCCCGAGCCUGAACGGCCGCAGAGACCAGGGAGAAGCGACUGUUUACUAAAAACACAGGUCCGUGCCAAGUCGCAAGACGAUGUAUACGGACUGACGCCUGCCCGGUGCUGGAACGUUAAGGGGACCGGUUAGCCUCACGGCGAAGCUGAGAACUUAAGCGCCAGUAAACGGCGGUGGUAACUAUAACCAUCCUAAGGUAGCGAAAUUCCUUGUCGGGUAAGUUCCGACCUGCACGAAUGGCGUAGCGACUUCUCCACUGUCUCAACCACGAACUCGGCGAAAUUGCACUACGAGUAAAGAUGCUCGUUACGCGCAGAAGGACGGAAAGACCCCGGGACCUUUACUACAGCUUGGUAUUGGUGUUCGGUACGGCUUGUGUAGGAUAGGUGGGAGACUGUGAAGCUGACACGCCAGUGUCGGUGGAGUCAACGUUGAAAUACCACUCUGGUCGUUCUGGAUAUCUAACCUAGGUCCGUAAUCCGGAUCAGGGACAGUGCCUGGUGGGUAGUUUAACUGGGGCGGUUGCCUCCUAAAAGGUAACGGAGGCGCCCAAAGGUUCCCUCAGCCUGGUUGGCAAUCAGGUUUCGAGUGUAAGUGCACAAGGGAGCUUGACUGUGAGACUGACAAGUCGAACAGGGACGAAAGUCGGGACUAGUGAUCCGGCGGUGGCUUGUGGAAGCGCCGUCGCUCAACGGAUAAAAGGUACCCCGGGGAUAACAGGCUGAUCUUGCCCAAGAGUCCAUAUCGACGGCAUGGUUUGGCACCUCGAUGUCGGCUCGUCGCAUCCUGGGGCUGGAGUAGGUCCCAAGGGUUGGGCUGUUCGCCCAUUAAAGCGGUACGCGAGCUGGGUUUAGAACGUCGUGAGACAGUUCGGUCCCUAUCCUCCGCGCGCGCAGGAAACUUGAGAAGGGCUGUCCCUAGUACGAGAGGACCGGGAUGGACGAACCACUGGUGUGUCAGUUGUUCUGCCAAGAGCACCGCAGAUUAGCUACGUUCGGGAGUGAUAACCGCUGAAAGCAUCUAAGCGGGAAGCAUGCUUCAAGAUGAGGUUUCCAUGGGGUUUACCCCGAGAGGCUCCCAGCUAGACUACUGGGUUGAUAGGCCGGAUGUGGAAGUGCGGUAACGCAUGGAGCUGACCGGUACUAAUAAGCCGAUAACUU
rnacentral:rRNA from 1 species